CACAGCUACUAGAAGGCAAGAAUAGAAGACCUUCCUCAGAGCCACCUGCCGACCUGAGCACCUUCAGUGCCCGCCGUGAUGUUGAAAAAGCUACCAAGAAGUCUGGAUGGAACAUAAUAGAAUUAUUUCAACUAAUAUAUUAUCUUCAUGAAGGUCAAUUCUGAGCACAUAUGGAACAGCUUAUGAUGCUGAACUGCAAACCACAGAGAAUGAGAUAUUGGCAAAGGAGAUGCUAUAGAAAGAACAACAACAAAAAAAAAUCCUGAUAGAUUCCUUAAUCAUAUAAGUCACUGGUGAACAAUAAAGCACUGUUAAGAUUGCUU